rnacentral:lncRNA from 1 species
AUAAAAAACAAUUAAACAAUUGAAAAACACAGAGAUUAGAAGAUUUACCUAGAAAUUACGAUUUCGCGGUGACGAAGACGGAACACGGUUUCACGGCGACUCGGCGACUGUGCGAUAGCUUCUGAGAAACAAUUUCAAAAUGAAAAUCAAAACAAAAAUACAUAGAUUGAAGUUAGUUGAAGAAGGAUUUGAGUUAUGUUACCAUUUUGAGCUGGAAUUUGAGACAGACGUUGAAGAUGUAGAGAGACAGCGAUGGAGAGAGACAACG